rnacentral:rRNA from 1 species
UAUUGGACAAUGGGCGCAAGCCUGAUCCAGCCAUGCCGCGUGGAUGAUGAAGGCCUUACCGUUGUAAAGUCCUUUUAACGGGGAAGAUAAUGACGGUACCCGUAGAAUAAGCCCCGGCUGACUUCGUGCCAGCAGCCGCGGUAAUACGAAGGGGGCUAGCGUUGCUCGGAAUUACUGGGCGUAAAGCGCACGUAGGCGGGUUCUUAAGUCGGUGGUGAAAUCCUGGAGCUCAACUCCAGAACUGCCUUCGAUACUGGGAAUCUUGAGUCCGGGAGAGGUGAGUGGAACUGCGAGUGUAGAGGUGAAAUUCGUAGAUAUUCGCAAGAACACCAGUGGCGAAGGCGGCUCACGGCCCGGUACUGACGCUGAGGUGCGAAA